GGAGUUAGCCGGUGCUUCUUCUGCGAGUAACGUCACAGAUGUAAGGUAUUAACUUACACCCUUUCCUCCUCGCUGAAAGUGCUUUACAACCCGAAGGCCUUCUUCACACACGCGGCAUGGCUGCAUCAGGGUUUCCCCCAUUGUGCAAUAUUCCCCACUGCUGCCUCCCGUAGGAGUCUGGGCCGUGUCUCAGUCCCAGUGUGGCUGAUCAUCCUCUCAGACCAGCUAGGGAUCGUCGCCUAGGUGAGCCUUUACCUCACCUACUAGCUAAUCCCACCUGGGCUUAUCCAUCAGCGCAAGGCCCGAAGGUCCCCUGCUUUCCCCCGUAGGGCGUAUGCGGUAUUAGCAGUCGUUUCCAACUGUUAUCCCCCACAAUGGGCAAAUUCCCAGGCAUUACUCACCCGUCCGCCGCUCGUCAUCUUCAAAGCAAGCUUUUGAAUGUUACCGCUCGACUUGCAUGUGUUAGGCCUGCCGCCAGCGUUCAAUCUGAGCCAUAAUCAAACUCUGA
rnacentral:rRNA from 1 species